rnacentral:lncRNA from 1 species
GGAAGCCAAGGACUGUUCCUGGGAUAAGCCCUCUUAUUCCACCUCCAUCGAUGCUGAGAAUGGUGAUUAGGUUUCCAUAAGUUGGAGGCUGUAGGGGUGAUUUUGGUCCUUCUCCCAUUAGGGAUGGAGUGAUGGAGGUAUGAACUUGAGUGAUGGAGGUAUGAACUUGAGUGAUAGAGGAGAGAAAAUGAGAGACUUAGAAUAGAAUUGAAGUUUCUGCAGGAGACUUAGAAAUGUAGAGAGAUUUGGAGU